rnacentral:rRNA from 1 species
GACGAACGCUGGCGGCGUGCUUAACACAUGCAAGUCGAACGGACAGGCCCUGCUUUUGUGGGGUGCUCGAUUGGCGAACGGGUGAGUAACACGUGAGUAACCUGCCCUUGACUUUGUGAUAACUUCAGGAAACUGGGGCUCAUACCGCAUAGGAGCUCCUGCUGCAUGGUGGGGGUUGGAAAGUUUCGGCGGUUGGGGCUAGACUCGCGGCUUAUCAGCUUGUUUGUGGGGUAGUGGCUUACCAAGGCUUUGACGGGUAGCCGGCCUGAGAGGGUGACCGGCCACAAGGGGACUGAGAGACGGACCAGAAGGCUACGGGAGGCAGCAGGGGGGAAUAUUGCACAAUGGGCGGAAGCCUGAUGUAGAAACGCCGCGUGCGGGAUGACGGCCUACGGGGUGUAAACCGCUGUCGCAUGUGACGAAGCGGGAGUGACGGUAAUGGGUAAAGAAGCACCGGCUAACUACGUG